CAAGGCUAAAUACUACCUGGCGACCGAUAGUGAAUCAGUACCGUGAGGGAAAGGUGAAAAGCACCCCGGAAGGGGAGUGAAAUAGAACCUGAAACCGUGUGCUUACAAAAAGUCAGAGCCCAAUCUAGGGGUGAUGGCGUGCCUUUUGUAGAAUGAACCGGCGAGUUACGUUUAACAUGCAAGGUUAAGUCGAGAAGACGGAGCCGCAGCGAAAGCGAGUCUGAAUAGGGCGAAUGAGUAUGU
rnacentral:rRNA from 1 species